rnacentral:lncRNA from 1 species
UGGGUACAUAUCUAUGUUCCCUUGAAGAUGACUUUUGCUUCUUCCAUUUCCCUUGAUUUGUAGUAGUAUCCAUCUUAAUAGACUUGCCCAAUUUUUUUCAUGAAAUAAAAAUUGACCUACAGAAAUCAAAGUAAAAUUGAUGGUAUCUCAGACACAUCAAAGUAUGGUCUAAUUAUGCAUGCCAAAACUAAUAUGAAAACUAGAACUAGAAUUUGACUAGGAACUAAAUGAGGAUUAAACCAAAUGGAAUCAGAAGUUAAGUAAACACAUAUGACUACUAGGUUUUCUCAUAAGAGGACCCACUAAUGACACACCAAAGUCAAAGGAUAAAAUCUGUAGACACCUGUCAGGAAACCCCUCAGGGUUUAUUACAAAAAGAAGGGCAAGAAGGGAAAUAUGCACACCAAAAGGCAAAAUGGAAAAAACCCAGAACCAGCUAGGAUUAAGGUUGACAAACCCUAACGAGAUUCAUCUCAUCUUGCAGCCGAAACCUCUACCAUCCGUAAUUCAUCCCACGGUCAAUGCCACACUCAUCAUCAUCACACGAUUCUGGCAACAUGAUUCCACCAUGAAGAGCAUUUUUGUUUAUUGUAUUUAGGCUUAUAAAAGGGCCCUCUUCCAUAAGUUGUAAUCAUCGAAAAUCAAUAAUAAAAAAAAAGUACCUCUGUUUUCCUCUCUUUAACCUUCUUCAUCUUCUCUAUCUUCUUUUUUUUCUUAUUCUUCUCAUUAUUCUUAACAUAUCAGAGCCAUGUCUAAGGCUUCUAAAAAGAUGGUAUCAAAGCCUACACUGGCUAAAUCCUAUGCUGGUGACGUCAUGCGAACACGAUCGAAGGGGAAGGCCCCGAUAACUGAGCAAACAAAUCCUGAAACACUCACCAUUAAAAAAGUUGAUUCGAAACUAUCGAUGUUCAUGGAUGAAUCACGCUGACAGUUCAAUGUGAUAUGAUAGCUGCUCCAAGGCAGAAUCGUUGAUCAAACCAAAGGAAGUUCUGCGUGAUGAGAAGUCGAGACCCGUCCAAGCAGAGGCCUCCUACCUCCCAUGCACGACACGAGCUCAUAUUCGGUUAAACAAGGGUUACUGAUAAAAACAAGGCUAAAAACACUUAAGAUACUCAAAGAGCAUCAGAAGGUGACUUGGAGCAAAUUUCAAAUGGCGUAAACACAAAUACAGUUCCAAACCUGAAAAGUUUCAGCGGACCAGUAACAAGAUCAAAGGUAAAGAAGCUUAAAGAGUUGCUCCAAGUUUUUACUCAAAAACAUGUGGAUGAUGGGCUGGCCAAUUGUGGAAGUUUAAAUAUUAGCUUUUUGAACAGAUCAAAUUCGUAAUUUUAAUUGGAUUUAAAUGAAUUGGGAUAAUUUGUUCUUGUUUGAGUCUUAUUGAUAAUGGAUGAAUAAGCCUUGUGUAUGGGCUGGAUUAGUUGAGUUGUUUUAAGUAUUUUGGAUUGUUUUAUUUUAGUUUGAGUUAAUUAAUCCUAUAUAAUUAAGUAUGACUCAUUUUGGGCUUAAGUCUUGUCUUAGUGUUAUUACAAGAAUGAGCCCAUAACUAUGUGGUGCCACAAACAAUUAGUGGUGUUGGUUAAGAAGAUUGGAGUUACAAGGAGUUACAUGACAAUUACAUGCCUAUAAUUAGCCUAGUUAUUGUUGGAGUUACAAUUGUAAUUACCACAUAAUUAACCUAGUUAUUGUGGGAGUUACAAUUGUAGUUAUUGUAU